GACAGAGGGUGCAAACGUUGCUCGGAAUUACUGGGCGUAAAGCGCGUGUAGGCGGGCUACCAAGUCAGAUGUGAAAUCCCUGGGCUCAACCCAGGAACUGCACUUGAAACUGGCAGCCUUGAGUGUCGGAGAGGAAAGCGGAAUUCCUGGUGUAGAGGUGAAAGUCGUAGAUAUCAGGAGGAACACCGGUGGCGAAGGCGGCUUUCUGGACGAUAACUGACGCUGAGACGCGAAAGCGUGGGGAGCAAACAGG
rnacentral:rRNA from 1 species